rnacentral:rRNA from 1 species
AACGAACGCUGGCGGCAGGCCUAACACAUGCAAGUCGAGCGCCCCGCAAGGGGAGCGGCGGACGGGUGAGUAACGCGUGGGAACGUACCCUUUGGUUCGGAAUAGCCCUGGGAAACUGGGAGUAAUACCGGAUACGGUCGAGAGACGAAAGAUUUAUCGCCGAAGGAUCGGCCCGCGUUGGAUUAGGUAGUUGGUGGGGUAAUGGCCUAUCAAGCCGACGAUCCAUAGCUGGUUUGAGAGGAUGAUCAGCCACACUGGGACUGAGACACGGCCCAGACUCCUACGGGAGGCAGCAGUGGGGAAUCUUAGACAAUGGGCGCAAGCCUGAUCUAGCCAUGCCGCGUGAGCGAUGAAGGCCUUAGGGUUGUAAAGCUCUUUCGGGGGGGAAGAUAAUGACUGUACCCCCAGAAGAAGCCCCGGCUAACUCCGUGCCAGCAGCCGCCGUAACAC